CCAGUACCGUGAGGGAAAGGCGAAAAGAACCCCGGCGAGGGGAGUGAAAAAGAACCUGAAACCGUGUACGUACAAGCAGUAGGAGCCCCAUCACUCAAGUGCCUCGCACUGAGUGAUGCAAUAACAUCACCGAAAAUAGCGCCGAAUUUGCUAACAAGGUUGGUCGAUUUUUUCAAGCCGUCGCGCAGUGUACCUAGAAGUACACGAGCAACGGAAGUUAAAAAAUCGGGCAAGAUUGAACGCAAAGGCAAGCGGGACAUUUGAGGAUGGGGUGACUGCGUACCUUUUGUAUAAUGGGUCAGCGACUUAUAUUCUGUAGCAAGGUUAACCGUAUAGGGGAGCCGUAGGGAAACCGAGUCUUAACUGGGCGAAUGAGUUGCAGGGUAUAGACCCGAAACCCGGUGAUCUAUCCAUGGGCAGGUUGAAGGUUGGGUAACACUAACUGGAGGACCGAACCGACUAAUGUUGAAAAAUUAGCGGAUGACUUGUGGAUGGGGGUGAAAGGCCAAUCAAACCGGGAGAUAGCUGGUUCUCCCCGAAAGCUAUUUAGGUAGCGCCUCGUGAACUCAUCUUCGGGGGUAGAGCACUGUUUCGACUAGGGGGUCAUCCCGACUUACCAACUCGAUGCAAACUGCGAAUACCGAAGAAUGUUAUCACGGGAGACACACGGCGGGUGCUAACGUCCGUCGUGAAGAGGGAAACAACCCAGACCGCCAGCUAAGGUCCCAAAGUCAUGGUUAAGUGGGAAACGAAGUGGGAAGGCUCAGACAGCCAGGAUGUUGGCUUAGAAGCAGCCAUCAUUUAAAGAAAGCGUAAUAGCUCACUGGUCGAGUCGGCCCGCGCGGAAGAUGUAACGGGGCUAAACCAU
rnacentral:rRNA from 1 species